rnacentral:rRNA from 1 species
AAUUGGAGGGCAAGUCUGGUGCCAGCAGCCGCGGUAAUUCCAGCUCCAAUAGCGUAUAUUAAAGUUGUUGCAGUUAAAAAGCUCGUAGUUGAAUUUCGGGAUCAAUAUUUCGGUCAUGCCGUUGGUAUGCACUGUUAUCAUUGAUUUCUCACCUUCUAAAGAACCGUAAUGCCAUUAAUUUGGUGUUACGGGGAAUUAGGACUGUUACCUUGAAAAAAUUAGAGUGUUUAAAGCAGGCUCACGCUUGAAUACAUUAGCAUGGAAUAAUGAAAUAGGACAUCCGAUUCUAUUUUGUUGGUUUCUAGGAUCGAUGUAAUGAUUAAUAGGGAUAGUUGGGGGCAUUAGUAUUCAAUUGUCAGAGGUGAAAUUCUUGGAUUUAUUGAAGACUAACUACUGCGAAAGCAUUUGCCAAGGAUGUUUUCAUUAACCAAGAACGAAAGUUAGGGGAUCGAAGACGAUCAGAUACCGUCGUAGUCUUAACCAUAAACUAUGCCGACUAGGGAUCGGAUGAUGUUAAUUUUUUAAUGACUCAUUCGGCGCCUUACGGGAAACCAAAGUGU